rnacentral:tRNA from 1 species
GGAGGGGUGUCAGAGUGGUCUAUCGUACCUCUUUGCUAAAGAGGUGGGCUUUAAUCGGCCCCGAGGGUUCGAAUCCCUCCCCUUCCGCCA